UAUUAUUAUAUAUAUACAUAUAUAAAUUAAUGAAAAUAUAUAAGAAAUAGAUAAUAUAAAUAAAAAAAAUCAAACAAGGAAGGAAUACACAUCAAUAUUUCAUCUAUAUAAAUAAACAAGACAACCACACAAGAAUGAUCAUUUUUUAAUGUCUGGAACUCAUUCUUCUACUUUAAAAAAACUUAUGAGCCAACGAAUCUUGAAUUAGGAUAUCCAUCGAGGAAAAAAAUUCUUUUCUCUUCUUUCGCGGUUAUCCAUCGUCCGUGCUUAAAGUCCGCAGUUUCCACAGGAACGAAUUCGUGGGAUACCGCAAAUCUUGAGGUUCCUCGUGCUAACACACAUUCAGCGAACCCCUUCGAUUUCCCGUAAUCUGUGAAUCGACAGCUGAGCGAGAUACAGUUUCUUGGAUUAGUUACUGCAUGGAAUAAUCAAUGAAGUUAAUGGUAUAUUAUUCAAAGAUCGUCGAAAAUGGAUUUGAUUUCUUCUUGUAAAAUCUACGAUUUUUCUUGAAUUAUUGAAUUGUUUUUUACAUAUAUAAAAGUAAAACGUUAAAAAGUUAAAACAUUACACGUAAAAAAAGAAGAGAGAAAAUUUAUGCAUUUUGUAUUAAGAUGAAUUAAUCUCGACUUUCUAAAUUUGAUAUCCCAUCAUUCUUUUCUCGUAUUACAAAUUUAUGGUGGAUCGCAAUUUUUCUUCCUGCAAUGCAUCAGUCGUUGAAUUGUUUUUCAAACGUUCCGCAAACUUCAAUGGAACUUUUUUAGAGGAUUUAUUCCAGUCGGAGAUAAAAGUUGCUCUAAAUGGAAAUCUCAAGAGAUUGCGAUAGUUUCUCGAGGAAGGUUCGAAAGGAUAAGAAAAUUUUUGCAAUUAAGAUUUUUUUUUUAAUCGAAGAUCUUAUUGAAAGAUACAUUAAAGUUUUAGAGAUAUAGAAGAUACUUUCACUUCGAACUUUUAACUUUAUUGAGCAUCAAAUUUCAUCAAUUCAUUUUACCAAAAUUCUGAUCUAAUAAUUACAAUUCAAAAUAAAUUGUAAUUGAAAUUAAAUAAAAAUAUUUAUAAAAACAAUGGAUAUGUUUGAAUAUUGAGAAUAAUUUUGAAAAAUAAUUUGAAAAUGAAUCUAUAUCAUGUUAUGAAUUAACUCAGAUUACAAUUUGCGAUAUUAACCAAAAAGAAUCAACCUAGAAUCGAUUCUAAAUUCAUCGAAUUGGUCUCUUUAAAAUCCUGCCUUCCUUCCCAGAGUCAAGAUUUAAGUGGUAGGUCAUGGACGGCGCCCUUCGAUUAUCAGCCCAAUCGAAUGCUUUUACCAAAGAGGUUACUCAGAUCCGAUCAUCGAUCCUUUGCCACCCUCAUCCAAUGAACAUUUCUAAAGCUCUGCACGUGACACAUGAAUAACCAUCAGCCACAAGGUGAUACUCCUGGACCACAAGCUGAUUACUGCUAUCGUAUCCUCGAAAGUGUUUAAAUAAGAGAAUUUUUUAGGUUAGAAUAAGAAUUCUUAAUUUUUUUUAUCUUUACUUUACACAUUUGGAUUAAAGUUAAUAUUUUACACAUAUUUAUUCAAUGAUAUAUAUCUGAUAAUAAUUAAAAUAUAAUUAAGCAUAUAACUAAAGGAUCUAACUAAAAGAUGAUAGAUUUAUUCUGAUAAUUUUUAAUUAUUAUUUAUAAUUCAUGUACAAAAAAUUCUGCAUCAAUGUAAUGUAAAUUGAAUAACUACUAAUUAUUGUAUGAAAAUAUAUAUUUCUUUUUGUUAA